rnacentral:rRNA from 1 species
UUCGGAAUAUUCGGCAAUGGACGAAAGUCUGACCGAGCGACGCCGCGUGCGGGAUGAAGGCCCUCUGGGUUGUAAACCGCUGUCACAGGUGAGCAAAUCAUAGAUUGAUAAUACCAAUCUAUGUUGAGUUAGGCUUGAGAGGAAGCCCCCGCUAAUCACGUGCCAGCAGCGGCGGUAAUACGUGAGGGGCGAACGUUGUUCGGUGUCACUGGGCUUAAAGGGCGCGUAGGUGGUUGCGUAAGUAAGGUGUGAAAGCCCUCGGCUUACCCGGGGAAUUGCGCCUUAUACUGCGUAGCUUGAGGAUCAAAGGGGAAGGGGGAACUCCAGGUGUAGCGGUGAAAUGCGCAGAUAUCUGGGGGAAGGCCGGCGGCGAAGGCGCCCUUCUGGUUGAAUCCUGACACUGAGGCGCGAAAGCGUGGGGAGCAAACAGGAUUAGAUACCCCCGUAGUCC